CACUGUUCACCAUUAUUUACAAUAAAGUAAACAAUGUACAGUUGGGUAACCUUCUGAUUACUACAAGGUUGUUUCUCUGGCUUUUGUGGAACCAGUAACCCAAUACUGAAAACAAUUGAGCCUACAUGUAAGGAAUGAAUGUCAAGAAAAAGC